rnacentral:rRNA from 1 species
AGAGAAUAGAUACCCUGGUAGUCCAUGCCAUAAACGAUGAUCACUUGGUGUUGGAGGUAUUGACCCCUUCAGUGCCGAAGCUAACGCGUUAAGUGAUCCGCCUGGGGAGUACGGUCGCAAGAUUAAAACUCAAAGAAAUUGACGGGGGCCCGGCACAAGCGGUGGAGCAUGUGGUUUAAUUCGAUGCAACGCGAAGAACCUUACCUAGAUUUGACAUGGAUUGGAAGGGUGGCAGAAAUGUCCCCGCCCGCAAGGGCCGAUUCACAGGUGCUGCAUGGCUGUCGUCAGCUCGUGUCGUGAGAUGUUGGGUUAAGUCCCGCAACGAGCGCAACCCCGUAUGUUUAGUUGCCAGCAUUCAGUUGGGCACUCUAGACAGACUGCCGACGUUAAGUCGGAGGAAGGUGGGGAUGACGUCAAGUCCUCAUGGCCUUUAUAUCUAGGGCCACACACGUGCUACAAUGGUAGGUACAAAGGGAAGCAAGAGCGCGAGCUGGAGCAAAU